rnacentral:rRNA from 1 species
GGCGGCGAGUGGAGUGAGUAAUACAUCGGAACGUGCCAAUCGUGGGGGAUAACGCAG